UCAUUUCAGGGAGGAGGGCAGAGAGAUUGCAAGAGGAACUCUACCACCUAUCUUCAGUAUCUCGAGGAAGCGCAAAGUGUCCGAAACGGAGGAGACAUAAUAUUUGUAAUUUCUUUAUGUCUUUAUUUUUUAUUGGUUUGUUUGUAGAGAAGAGCAGAAAAUAAAUUUGAUAAUGUAUACCAAUCCCAAGAAACAUAUUAUUUGAAUCGAAAUGAAAUCAUAUAUUGAUGGUUAUUAAGCAAACAAUAUACACUGUAAGAAAAUAAAAUGCAGACUUCACAUUUAAGAAAGACUACUGGGGGAAGUUAAUUUCUAAAUCAACAUAAGUUGAGCCUCUUUUUUUCACAUGUGAAUUGGGAUUCUCACUGUUGGCCCAACCUCAUUGAAAUCAAUACGACAAGAACGCAUUGGAGCGCUUGUUGUUGGGGAUACUAAAUCAUCAAAAUCAUAUAAACAUUUGUUUUGUACUCCAGGGUGACAACGAAGUGUAAAACAAUGUGCCAUUUCCUAUUUAUUCUAUCAGUUUCAGUGUGGAGAAACUGUUCCUAAGAGGCUGAGCUUACAGGAAGGGUUACAGCAAUCUUGCACAGUCUAAAGAGUGUAAGGGAAACUUCCCUGUUCUAGUGUUCUUUCCUCAUUUCAUGACAGCUGCUAUAACCUCAGAUGAACCUCACACCCAGAGGUCCACGGUGCAAUGUUUUUUUUCACCACUGGGAUGCUGACGGCGUUACCCGCCUAUAUUUUUUUCCCCUUGGCGGCCCUCAGUCAAAUUUUGGGUUCCUAAAUUGGCCCUCAGCUGUCAAAACUUUGAGAACCCCUGUUGUAGACCAACUUCGGAAAACUGUAGUUCCACCGUAGAAACGCUAGAGGUCAGCAAUUCUCUCGUCGCUCAAUGACGUCGGUUAGGAAAAGUGGGGUCGAAUUCAUUUUAAACAGCGCUGUCUUUUCCUAUGUUCGAAAGGAAGCACAUUUUCAUCUCUCCUUGACCCUAUGACGUUUUCCACAAAGGUUAAGUAAAGGAUAGGAGAUUUGACUAUUCUUAGAGGAAUUGGGACACGGCUAAGUAGUCUCACUGCGUCCGCCAUCUUGUCGUCACGUGACAGCACUUGGACGUUGGAUGUCCAUGUCCUACAGGCUGCAGCGAGACCUAUGGUUUCGAUCUAUCCGGUUUCGGAGUACCUCCGUAAAGACUGAGUCAAGCGAAACCGGGUAGAUCUGUAGAAACGCUGUAGUACACAUUCCAGGCCCAUAAGGGGCGCUGCUUCUGCUACAGAAAUCCAGAAGAAAAAUAUAUAAGAAGAAGAGGCGACCAUGCGCAUAAAGGGUGACCGCGGGCUUAACAGUCAUUGGCUAGAGGGUCGAGGGGUGGGGCGAUGACGUCAUGGUUUACGGUUUCAGUCGAUUUCAGGCAUCCACACGAUUCCAAAACGAAACUGGGUCGAUUUGAAACCACCUCUGAGGGUGGUUUCAGAAGUUUACGGUUUCGGUCAGUGGAUUCGCCGGCUUCUUGUGGACGGAAGGUCAAACCGUACAAGACCUUUGCGGUUUCGCCAUGAAAUAGGCUUCGUGUGGACGGGGCCUAUGUUUAGCCUCUUUGGUUUAAGGGGUGCCCCCGGGGGCGGGGGCACCGCUACUUCAUGCCACCCACACAACUAUAUGUCAUAUGAAAGCUGAGGCUCCACAUAUUCCAAUGAUAUCACUCUCAUCACUCUACGACGAAAACUCACUGAACUAGAAGAGCGGCGCCAAAGAAGAGCAAAACAAAUAAACAAAUACUUUUGAUUGGCGAAUGCUGCUAUCAUUGCUGUAACACGGGGAAUUGGUUAGCCUAGCGAUUGUUGUACUAGUUCUAUGAACAUCCUUACUGUACCGACAGCGAUAUAUUGUUGCACUUCUUAUGACAAAUGUUUGUCUUUGGAUAAAAGCGUCUGCUAAAUGCCCUAAAUGUAAAUGAAGGCGAAAAUUGAAAAUUUACAUUUCUUACUAUUAUCUAACUGAAUUUACUCUGACAUAGUAACAUCUAUGUUGAUUCUAACACUUCUGCAGCCACCUCACAGAUGUUACCUUCUUUUUGAAACCAACUUUAUUCAUGUAGCACCUUGUAGUUGUGGAGGCAUACUCUAUUCAUUUUGGGCAUGUCAUUUCGGGCAGGAGGCCUGUGAAAUAGGCCUAGGGCUUAACAGGCUCCCUAUUCUUUAGAAGACUACUCUUUCACAACUUUUGUUUUUGUGAGUUUCUAUUGUAUUCUUUUUAAA